rnacentral:rRNA from 1 species
CUACGGGUGGCUGCAGUGGGGAAUAUUGGACAAUGGGGGAAACCCUGAUCCAGCAAUGCCGCGUGUGUGAAGAAGGCCUGCGGGUUGUAAAGCACUUUCGGUUGGGAGGACUGCUUCUAGCACUAAUAUUGUUGGAAGUUGACGUUACCUUCAGAAGAAGCACCGGCUAACUCCGUGCCAGCAGCCACGGUAAUACGGAGGGUGCAAGCGUUAAUCGGAAUUACUGGGCGUAAAGCGCGCGUAGGCGGCGAGAUCAGUCGGGUGUGAAAGCCCCGGGCUUAACCUGGGAACUGCAUCCGAUACUGUCUAGCUUGAGUACAGGAAAGGAGAGUGGAAUUCCACAUGUAGCGGUGAAAUGCGUAGAUAUGUGGAGGAACACCAAUGGCGAAGGCAGCUCUCUGGCCUGAUACUGACGCUGAGGUGCGAAAGCGUGGGGAGCAAACAGGAUUAGAUACCCUUGUAGUC